rnacentral:snRNA from 1 species
AUGCUCGUUUUUAACAAGGCAAG